rnacentral:lncRNA from 1 species
GCAUUUGUGGCGUGAUGCACUGGUGAACAGGCUGAGCACGAUGUACAUGCCCUGCAAGAAUCUCCUCUCUACCCACUCACGCCUGCUGCCAGCCGAAUAUCUGACCCUGCCAUUGUCAUUCGAGGACACGCUAAUAACCCUGCUGCAGGAAUACCACCGGGGCACCUGGGAGUGGAAUGAGGUGGCCUAGAUCCCUCCAGCAUUAUCCGUUGUGCGUCCUUUAUUUCAUAUUUGGCCAGAAACAUCUAGAACCACAGCUGUCUGACUCUUACUGGUUGAAAGAAGCUCCUGUGUGCCUAAAGGAUUCUUUUGAAUUAAGUCUUUUCAGUCAUUUUCCCCUCCGGUGUUCACCAGUGAGGCCACACUUUGACAGAAGUCAGCUUUUUUUCCCCUCAACCCCCAACAAAC